rnacentral:tRNA from 1 species
UCUCUCGUAGCUUAGUGGUCAAAGAAUUGGAAAGUUCCGGGUUCGAAUCCCGGCGAGGGUG